AGAUUGAACGCUGGCGGCAUGCCUAACACAUGCAAGUCGAACGGGAGUAGCAAUACUCUAGUGGCGGACGGGUGAGGAAUACGUAGGAAUUUGCCCUUAAGUGGGGGAUAACCCGGGGAAACCCGGAUUAAUACCGCAUGACCUCGAAGGAGCAAAGUGGGGGAUCGCAAGACCUCACGCUUUUGGAGAAGCCUACGUCGGAUUAGCUAGUUGGUGAGGUAAUGGCUCACCAAGGCGACGAUCCGUAACUGGUCUGAGAGGAUGAUCAGUCACACCGGAACUGAGACACGGUCCGGACUCCGUACGGGAGGCAGCGAGUGGGGAAUAGUUGGACAAGUGGGCGCAAGCCUGAUCCAGCAAGUGCCGCGUGUGUGAAGAGGUCCUUACGGUUAGUAA
rnacentral:rRNA from 1 species